UUUGGCAAGAUGAUUUUUUAAAUCCGAUAUUCUAUGAAUUAAUCCUUUGUAUCUACUCAAUUUUAAAAUAGCGUUCCAAAUAAAUCAAUAUUACCUGCCGAUGACAUCACAAUGUGUGAUACAGCACAACGAAUAAUGUAUUUUUUUUGUGUACAUAAGAUGCAGCAACAAGUAGAUUUCUAUAACAUUCAUCCUAGCAAUGAACUGCAAGCCUGCCACAACCUUAAGAUAGGGGUUAGAUUAAUUUUCCCACAAUAAAGGGACAAUUUACUUCCAACCAUAUUUCAAAACUUUCAUCCAGAAGUUAUCUAAUCACUAAUGAAAGAAGAAAAACAGAAAAGGGUCAUUACUCUUUUUGCGUCAUUCCAGGAUCCUCAUAGUAAGAUAGAUUUGUUCCUUCAACUGCCAUUGAUUAUAUCCCCAUUUCUUUAUUAUUUACCUAAUAAUGAUGAUGAAUUAAUUUUUACUUAUUUUUUCAACUACCUAUAGUUAACAUGGAUUAAUAGUUGUCAAAUUUUAAACAUCAAAGUGAAUAAUUGUAAAUCAAAUUUUGAAGUGCAUAAAAAAUUAAUCUUAUAUAAUUAUAAUCUGUGAAACAACUUGUUAAAUGUAAGUUGAAGUUGUACCUUUGAUAUGCCAUAUUUUCAAUAACUUGUGUUUUUUUUUUCAUUAUUGCAUUUUUGUGAUUUUAAAUUUUAAAAUUCAUUUCAAUUUAAAUCAUGCAAUUUUUCAUUUUUUUACCCACCCUGUUUUUGUUACUUGCAAACUACUCUUUUUAGCCUGAAACAUCUUUUUUCACCUUAAUUCUUAUUGAUAAUAAUGCUUAGAUUGAAAAAAUAGCUUCUUUUUGAUUAUUUUAUUGAGUAGUAAUACACGUUUCUUGUUUUUUUCAAUCAUUGUACACAAAUAGGCCUAUGUUUAAAUAUACUAAAUAUACAAUUUGAGUGAGGAUGAAUUAUUGGUGAAUGAUCACUGUUAGUAAGGGCUAUCUAUAGGAUGUCC